AUUGAACGCUGGCGGCAGGCCUAACACAUGCAAGUCGAACGCUUGGCGGAAGGGUGAGUAAUAUCUGGGAAAAUGCCUGAUGGAGGGGGCUAACUUCUGGAAACGGUAGCUAAUCCCGCAUACUAUCGGAUGUGCUCAGCGGGGAUUAGAUAGUAGGUGGGGUAAAGGCCUAUCUCGGCGACGAUCCCUAGCUGGUCUGAGAGGAUGACCAGCCACACUGGAACUGAUACACGGUAUAUACUCCUACGGAAGGCAGCAGUGGGGAAUAUUGCACAAAGGGAGCAAGCCUGAUGAAGCCAUGCCGCGUGUAUGAAGAAGGCCUUCGGGUUGGAAAGUACUUUCAGCGGUGAGGCGUUACCCGCAGAAGAAGCACCGGCUAACUCCGUGCCAGCAGCCGCGGUAAUUC
rnacentral:rRNA from 1 species